rnacentral:rRNA from 1 species
CAAGUCGCACGAGAAUCCGCCUUCGGGCGGGAGGACAGUGGCGAACGGGUGAGUAACACGUGAGCAUCUGCCUCCGGGUCGGGGACAGCCCGCGGAAACGCGGAUUAAUACCCGACGGUCCCUUCGGGGCAAAGAGGAAUCGCCCGGAGAUGAGCUCGCGGCCCAUCAGCUUGUUGGCGGGGUAACGGCCCACCAAGGCGACGACGGGUAGGUGGUCUGAGAGGAUGGUCACCCACACUGGGACUGAGACACUGCCCAGACUCCUACGGGAGGCUGCAGUCGAGAAUCAUCCGCAAUGGGCGAAAGCCUGACGGUGCAAUGCCGCGUGGGGGAUGAAGGCCUUCGGGUCGUAAACCCCUGUCAGAAGGGACGAAGCAAGUGACGGUACCUUCAGAGGAAGCCACGGCUAACUACGUGCCAGCAGCCGCGGUAACACGUAGGUGGCGAGCGUUAUUCGGAUUUACUGGGCGUAAAGGGUCCGCAGGGGGUUUGCCAAGUCCGGUGUGAAAGUCCAGGGCCCAACCCUGGAACUGCGCCGGAUACUGGUGAACUGGAGUGCGCGAAGGGCAGGCGGAAUUCCUGGUGUAGCGGUGGAAUGCGUGGAUAUCAGGAAGAACACCGACGGCGAAAGCAGCCUGCUGGCGCGCCACUGACCCUCAUGGACGAA